AUGUUCAAUAUGGUUGUGUUUCAUAUCUCUGGCGACGACGGUAAAGUUCUGUGAACUUUUUAUUUGUCAACAAGUCAGGUAGUUAUUGUAACCUAAAGAAAAUGUGAAAUAUUUUUCUUGUAGCGUUGUUGUGGAACGGGUUUGUCAUUUUACCGGCAUAAUAACAGUUAUUACUGAAGAUUUCUGGGAUAAAUAUAUAAUUAAUGCCGACUGACAUAACCUGCUGUAUCACAGUUCUGCAUUGUGUUGUUUAUAUUAAUCUCAGGUUGCAAAAAUAAGAAUGUCGCUUUACGAUGAUAUGGAUGCAAUCAAACAGAAGUCGGAACAAGUUGCCGGCUGGUCGUCUGGCAUAAAGUUACUGCAGUCCCAACUGCAGUUAAAGAAGGCUGUCCAAACGCAGCCAAGAAGAGAUGCUCUCCGCAAAUCAGGACAGAUACUUGCACCUGUCAUUGAUUUGAAAUCUAAAAAGGAUGAUGAAGAUUCAAAUUCUAAUUCCAGUUUUGGCAGUUAUUCAGGGAAGGAAGGAAAAGGCAAUAACUCAUCAAGAGACUUGGAUUGGAAUGUGGAAGGUGAAUAUGAUCCAAUGUGGCCAAAUGAUUAUGAAAAGGUGGUGAAAGAUUUGCGAGAAAUAAGAGAGAGGGAGAAAGAAAAGGAAGAGGAGGAAAAGAGAAGAAAAAAUAGAGAUGACAGAGAUAAACGAGGAAGAGACAGGUAUGAUAAUUCUGAUGAGAGAAGAUCAAAGCAGACGACUGGUUUUGCUGGACGCAGAGACAGUGAUGAAGAAGAAGAGGAGAAGCCAACCACACCACGCGUGGGAGGUGUUGCCAUUGCUCCUCCUCCCUCUCUUCAGGAACCAAGCCCAGCUCCUGCUGCACCUCCUGGGGCAGAUGGACAGAAGCUACCACAAGUUUCUGGUGAAAAAUAUGGAUUGUCAUUUGGAGGUUCCGUUGCAGCCAAAAUUAUGGCCAAAUAUGGUUUCAAAGAAGGACAAGGCCUUGGAAAACAAGAACAAGGCAUCUCUAUGGCUUUACAAGUUGAGAAAACUAGUAAACGAGGGGGCCGUAUAAUAAGUGAAAAAGAAAUAAUGCCACCUCCUCCACCAUCUGCAGGCUCACCAUCUUCUGCUUCUCAGUCAGCACCACAGGGCCAGCCAAAGCCUGAGCCAUCUAUUACGGAAAUCAUGAAGAGCCCAGCAAAAGUUGUGCUGCUCAGGAAUAUGGUUGGUCCAGGAGAAGUAGAUGAAGACCUGGAGCCUGAGGUUAAAGAUGAAUGUAACACAAAGUAUGGUGAUGUUGUUAAAGUUCUUAUUUAUGAACAACCAAGUGCUGCACAUGAUGAAGCUGUUAGAAUAUUUGUUGAAUUUAAACGGAUUGAAUCAGCUAUUAAAGCUGUAGUGGAUUUGAAUGGACGUUUCUUCGGUGGGCGCCAAGUGAAAGCUGGUUUCUAUAGUUGGGAGAAAUUCAACAAUUUACAGUUGCUGGAUUAAGUGGGCUACAAGUUUCACAGUAAUAUGGAAUCCAAUUAAUGGUCUCAAUUUAGCAAUGAUGAAAUAAGAAGAACAUGGUUACCAGCCUAAUCACCUACUUCUCCUGUGGCUUGACUGCAGCAGAAGUGGCAUUUCAUCUGACAUACAGACUGAUGGCUGCAAUUGUUGGAUCACCAGUAGCAGUCAGACUCCAUGCACAUUGCAGAUAGACAACAUUGCAGAUAGACAAAACUUGUAUAUACUGUGGAUGACUUUUGUGCUAGAAAUGGACUGUUUAGUCAAUUCUGUGAAAGACAGGAUGUUGACUAUGUAAAUUUAUUCAGGUGAUACUGAAUAGCCUGAGAUACUGUGAUGUUAAAAUAAACUGUGCUCAUAGUUAAUGGGCUUUUUUAAUCUAA